AGAUAUUUCUUGAAUUGGACUUGGCAACCCUAGUAUUAUAUAAAAUACCUGACUUAAAAGAAAUUGAACCUCUUUACAGCACUUCUGGCCAUAGUAGGUUUCUGUUAACCUUUGAAUGCUUUUUCAAAGUCUGGUAACUCCACUUUAGCCCCGUGGCACAGAGUGGUAAAGCUGCAGUACUGCAGUCGGAGCCCUCUGCUCACACCCUGAGUUCGAUCCCAGCGGAAGCUGGUUCAGAGAUUUCCACCCCUACCUCUAGAACUGAGAUUCUUUCUGAGUGACAUGCCAUCCAAUGGACUGCUCCACACUUGAGGUUGCCAACCUCCAUGAGAAGACCCUGUUGCAGUGAAGAAAAGAUAUGAUACUUUGUUCGUUCAACUGAUGUUUACACUGUGGCCCCAUGGAAAUAUUGCAUACUUAGAAGAGAGAGAGCAGAGGAAGGCUUCGAAACAGCCAGCAAGUUCUAGAUGUGAAGCUGCAGCUUGGAAUUUAAAGUGGGACUGUUGGCCCUUUAAGAGACAGAAACCCAUGGAACAACGGAAGCUAUCAUUUGUGAACGGACUCUUUCUAGCUGCGUGUAUAUUAUUUGUUUGACUUUUGACUUCUUGUAAUAGAGAUAACUUGUUAUCUUUCUAAAA